rfam:Phormidium ambiguum IAM M-71 NIES-2119_Scaffold_30, whole genome shotgun sequence.
GUUUAAACUUCAAUUAAUCCCUAUCAGGGAUUGAAAC